rnacentral:sRNA from 1 species
CUCACUCAGCGGCGCCACUGAGAGGGACGGGCGCCGGCCAUGGAGCGCACAGCAGGCAAAGAGCUGGCCCUGGCACCGCUGCAGGACUGGGGUGAAGAGACCGAGGACGGCGCGGUGUACAGUGUCUCCCUGCGGCGGCAGAGCAGUCAGCGCUGGAGCCCGGCGCAGGGCCCCGGGGGCAGCCAGGCCCCCAGCCCCAUCGUCAAUACCUUCCUCCACUAUCGAACCAGCAAGGUGCGGGUGCUGAGGGCGGCGCGCCUGGAGCGGCUGGUGGGAGAGUUGGUGUCUGGAGACCGUGAGCAGGACCCCAGCUUUGUGCCCGCCUUCCUGGCCACCUACCGGACCUUUGUACCCACUGCCAGCCUGCUGGGCUUUCUGCUGCCACCAACGCCGCCGCCCCCACCUCCCGGGUCAGUAGCGAACCAGAACCUCCAUAUUACCCACCCUAGAACCCCAAUUGGGCACCCCCCUCCACCUCCUCAGGUGUGGAAUCUGGAAACACCUCCCAGACCCAGAGCCCUCUUGCUAAGCCCCCUCUAGGUUCCCCCUUCUUCACCUGCUGGGGGGCCUCUUCCCAGGCUAGAGAUCAAGAAGACGGCGGUACAAGAUCUGAGCUUCAACAAGAACCUGAGGGCUGUGGUGUCAGUGCUGGGCUCCUGGCUGCAGGACCACCCUCAGGAUUUCCGAGACCCCCCUGCCCACUCGGACCUGGGCAGUGUCCGAACCUUUCUGGGCUGGGCGGCCCCAGGGGGUGCUGAGGCUCAAAAAGCAGAGAAGCUUCUGGAAGAGUUUUUGGAGGAGGCUGAGCGAGAGCAGGAAGAGGAGCUGCCUCAGGUGUGGACAGGACCUCCCAGGGUUGCCCAAACUUCUGACCCAGACUCUUCAGAGGCCUGCGCUGAGGAAGAGGAAGGGCUCAUGCCUCAAGGUCCCCAGCUCCUGGACUUCAGCGUGGACGAGGUGGCCGAGCAGCUGA